CUUGGCGGCGGUGCUCUGCAGGCAGUGCCUCCCUCGGGCGUGGGUCUGCAGGAGAGCCGGACAGGGCAGCGGCUGGCACUACCGCGCCGCGAUUUGCGCAGAGCUGAAGAAGCCCCUGACCGUUGAAGAGGUGGCCCCCUCCCCGUCGGGCCUCACGAGGUCAGAGUUGAUGUCCAUUUCUGUGGAGUUAACUUUGGUGAUAUUUUGAUCUGCCGUGGUCAAUAUCAGGAAAGGCCCCAUCUUCCCUUCACACCUGGUAAUAUAGCUGCUGCUGGAAGUGACGAGAAGUGCAAGCCGGUGAUGCAGAGGGGUGCGCAGUCCAGCAUGAACUACAGUCAGGGCAGCCUGAAGGAUGCACCUGGCAUGGGAGGGCAGGAUUGUGGUGGUGGGAUUUGCUGGAGGAAACAUUGCUUCUGUACCAGCCAACCUUCUGCUCCUGAAGAAUAUCUCUGCUAUGGGCCUGUACUGUGGUCAACACAAAGAAAUGAACUUUCCUGUCUUCUCCAAGAGCCUAUCUUCAGUGCUUCAGUACUGCCAGCAAGGGUGCAUCCAGCCAUAUGUUGGAAUGGUUUUCAAGCUGGAUGAGAUGCCUUCCUUCAUGUGAUACAGGGGAAAUCCAUGGGCAAGGUGCUUCUCACUCUUAAAUAAAUCCUUGCCUGAGCAGCAAAGUUAACAUGUCCAGAUCAAAACUCCACAUCUUUCCCCAAAACCCGAUUUCCCUUCUGUGUUUCCAAAGGUGUUACCACUUUCCUUACUAAUCCAG
rnacentral:sRNA from 1 species